UUUCAAAAGGUGGUGCAGUAUUCUAGUCAGGUAAGUAUUUUUGAAGGCGGGGCUAAAAAUCCGUUAAAGAGCAUAUCGAUGAAGUUCCUUGUGCUGGCUUAUAACGCCCAGUUGUGGGUUGGUGCUGGGAGUAAGGUUGUGGGGCAAUCGCAAAGGCAUGCGACAUUGACCCUACAUCCGUGGAGACCAUUGUAUGUGCUUUAGAAGAAAUAUCUAAAGUACGGCAAUGGAUUAAACCUGCAUUGUGGUAAACUUAGCUAUGUGCAGAGUAGCUUGCCUUGAGUGGGGUAGGUAGAGGCGAGAACAAACCGCAAUGCUUAGGCCAAAGCAUUGCGGUUAUUGCUCACUAAAACCUAUGCUGCAAAAGAGGAUAAAAAAAUACCUAACUGUUGAGGAAAUCUCCUAGACUGUUUAUUCUUAUAAAACAUAUUAGGGAUUGCAGUGCGGACUAAGUGGUAAUCCAGCCCUGUAGUUUUGGUGACACUAUAGAUAGAGCAUUAAAAGGAAACUGCUAAAAUGGCGACAUUUUAGUUGCUCUAUGGGAAAUCCUGCUGGACCUAAGCCGUAAAAUUUACUUAAUAUGUUACCACUUUUUAUUUUU
rnacentral:sRNA from 1 species